GCAGCACCCUCUGUCAUCCCACUGAUCUCCAGGGCUGACUGGGCUGAUCUAGUUGGCUAGGCAGGUGUUCC
rnacentral:sRNA from 1 species